rnacentral:tRNA from 1 species
UGGGAUGUGGCCGAGUGGUAAGGCGCCGGGUUUUGGUUCCGCUAUUCGUAGGUUCGAAUCCUUCCGUCCCAG